UACGGAGGGUGCAAGCGUUGUCCGGAUUUAUUGGGUUUAAAGGGUGCGUAGGCGGUUUAUUAAGUCAGUGGUGAAAGGCUGCAGCUCAACUGUAGCAUUGCCAUUGAUACUGAUAAACUUGAGUACAGACGAGGUAGGCGGAAUUGAUAGUGUAGCGGUGAAAUGCAUAGAUACUAUCAAGAACACCGAUUGCGAAGGCAGCUUACUAGGCUGUAACUGACGCUGAGGCACGAAAGCGUGGGGAGCAAACAGG
rnacentral:rRNA from 1 species